CCCUUAGACGUUCUGGGCCGCACGCGCGCUACACUGACCGGUGCAACAAGCAUCCGUCCUUGGCCGACAGGCCCGGGCAAUCUUUGAACGCCGGUCGUGAUGGGGAUAGACUUUUGCAAUUUUUGGUCUUCAACGAGGAAUUCCUAGUAAACGCAAGUCAUCAACUUGCAUUGAUUACGUCCCUGCCCUUUGUACACACCGCCCGUCGCACCUACCGAUUGAAUGGUCCGGUGAAAUCUCGGGACGGCGGCUUGGUCGCUUGCGUCCGACUGCUGAAACUUGAUUAAACCAUAUCAUUUAGAGGAAGGUGAAGUCGUANCA
rnacentral:rRNA from 1 species